CAAUUUCCAGUAAAUUUGUGCCUUCUCUUCUCUGUUCUUUGAUGUUUCUCCUAACAAGUGGUGGCUUACAGCCAAAGUUUAGGAUGAAAGAUGCAAAAAGAAUGGAUGGAAUCUUAGCCAUUCAUGGUCCCUUGAAUGGUUCAGAUGCAGGGACUGCUUAUCUUACACUAGCAGUAACAACUGCACUGGAUCCAGGUCUGGCG
rnacentral:lncRNA from 1 species